rnacentral:rRNA from 1 species
GACGAACGCUGGCGGCGCGCCUAACACAUGCAAGUCGAACGAGCGAGCGAGAGCUUGCUUUCUCAAGCGAGUGGCGAACGGGUGAGUAACGCGUGAGGAACCUGCCUCAAAGAGGGGGACAACAGUUGGAAACGACUGCUAAUACCGCAUAAGCCCACGACCCGGCAUCGGGUAGAGGGAAAAGGAGCAAUCCGCUUUGAGAUGGCCUCGCGUCCGAUUAGCUAGUUGGUGAGGUAACGGCCCACCAAGGCGACGAUCGGUAGCCGGACUGAGAGGUUGAACGGCCACAUUGGGACUGAGACACGGCCCAGACUCCUACGGGAGGCAGCAGUGGGGAAUAUUGCACAAUGGGGGAAACCCUGAUGCAGCGACGCCGCGUGGAGGAAGAAGGUCUUCGGAUUGUAAACUCCUGUUGUGGAGGAAGAUAAUGACGGUACUCAACAAGGAAGUGACGGCUAACUACGUG